ACACUGGUCGGAGCUUUGUCUGUGGUUUUGGAACCAAUCCUCCCUUUAGAGCACAUCACCGUUCCAGUGCUGAGCCUCCUCAACCAGCUAAACGUGGACGCCCAUGACGUUUACUACCACUCCCGUUGGAGAAGCUAGUAGCCGAUUAGAAGUUACCG